UGAGGAACAUGACCUUCGGCGGGGGAUAGCCGGCCCAACGGCCGGGUAAUACCGCGUACGACCACAUGGGGACAUCCCUGAGUGGUGAAAGCAGCAAUGCGCCGAUGGAGUGCCUCGCGGCCUAUCAGCUAGUUGGUGAGGUAAUGGCUCACCAAGGCGACGACGGGUAGCCGGCCUGAGAGGGCGAUCGGCCACACUGGGACUGAGACACGGCCCAGACUCCUAGGGAGG
rnacentral:rRNA from 1 species